GUGCCAGCCGCCGCGGUAAUACGUAGGUGGCAAGCGUUGUCCGGAUUUACUGGGCGUAAAGAGCGCGCAGGCGGUCUUGUAAGUCGAAUGUGAAAGCCCCUGGCUCAACCAGGGAGGGUCAUUCGAUACUGCUUGACUCGAAGGCAGGAGAGGGAAGUGGAAUUCCGGGUGUAGUGGUGAAAUGCGUAGAUAUCCGGAGGAACACCAGUGGCGAAGGCGACUUUCUGGCCUGUUCUUGACGCUGAGGCGCGAAAGCUAGGGGAGCAAACGGGAUUAGAAACCCUGGUAGUCC
rnacentral:rRNA from 1 species